CUCCUUGAGCGACGCAAUCCGGCGAGUCGGAGUCGAACACUUUCCACACUCCGUAGGCAUACGAGACCGCGGAGAGCCAGUCGGCCACCGAGAGGAAGAGAAGCAGUUUGCGCGGAGUGGUCCUCAAAUCCGCCAAACUAAUCUAAGACACUGCCAGAGAAACACCCACAGCAGCCAGUAGUUCUGCCAACUGGUCCAUUCUCCUCGAGAGUGGCAUGAAAGCUGGCACUUUUUACUAUGAUGAGCUCUCGAAGUAGAAGAUGAUCAGUGCUCUCUGUGAAAACAGACACAAUGCAGCAUGCUGUGCUAUCGACGUUAAAGAGAAACAUGCACAAGACUCUUACUAAGUACAGCUACAGUCAGCAUAAUGGAGCACAUCCAGCGUUUCGAAGAUCAGUGUGUAUGAGCCAUCCGCUUUUGCUGCAGCAGUGCAGCACUUUUUUUCUACUCACUGCAGGAGGACAUGACUUUGAGCAGCCCUGGGCCAGACUUGAACCCGCUUAAUGCAAAAAAAAAAAAAAAAAAGGAGCAGCUUUUCUCUUUUAUUUUUUAUAUUCCCCACUGUGGUUUGCACUUUACUGUUUUACCAGGACCACUCUUUUCUGACUUGAUAAACUGCUGAUUGCUGAAUCAUGGUAACUCUCACCAGUUAUUUGUGAUCAGCCCCAUGCUACUUGCCACACUGUCCUGAUUAGUUGCUGUCAGUAGGUUAGCAAAAUCUGCAGUAACGCAUUCACGUGAGAAAAUAGCCCGUAGCCUAUGCAUGUUAGCAUGCAGUGCUGUUGUACUGCAUGAAUCCGCAGAGCCCUCUCCUCCGUACAACGACACCUGCAGGAAAAAUGCCUCCAACAGCAACUUUUUUUCAUACCACCAGCAGCAUUCUCAGCAAUAGCGUGAAGAAACGACCAUAUCCUGUGUUGGGUUACAGCAAUGAAGUCUACCAGCGGAAAUGAUCCAAGUACACUUCAUUUAUUGUAAAAUUAGUCACGACAAGUGAGUGAUGUACUAUGUUCAUCUAUCUAGCCAGUGACUUAUUGCGGAAGCUAGAAGGUGCUCUUUCACUAGAUGGAAGAAGCUACAUAACAUUUGUCUACUGAAUUUAUCUUUUAUCAUGCUUUAGCUCAAUAAAGGUAUCGAGAAACUGUUAUGUACCUUGCAAACCUAACCAUAGAACCCCUAAAGUCAAACAGCCGCCGAGGUUGUAUAAUAUUUGGGGAACAAUCUUCCUCCAAUUGCACUAAACGUUAGGUUACCCUCCACUGUAUUAUAGGCAUGACCGAAUGAAAACAAGACAUGACCAAAAAAAAAAAGCUUUACUUGUUUGAUUUAACACCUUGAUAGCACACCAGACUCAACUCCUUUGUAUACAAUUCAUUAAACAGUCAACUCUC